GACGAACGCUGGCGGCGUGCUUAACACAUGCAAGUCGAACGAUGAACCCGGAGCUUGCUCCGGUGGAUUAGUGGCGAACGGGUGAGUAACACGUGAGUAACCUGCCCUUGACUCUGGGAUAACUGCGGGAAACGGUAGCUAAUACCGGAUACGACCCUCGGCGGCAUCGCCAGGGGGUGGAAAGAAUUUCGGUCAAGGAUGGACCCGCGGCCUAUCAGCUCGUUGGUGAGGUAACGGCUCACCAAGGCGAAGACGGGUAGCCGGCCUGAGAGGCUGACCGGCCACACUGGGACUGAGACACGGCCCAGACUCCUACGGGAGGCAGCAGUGGGGAAUAUUGCACAAUGGGCGCAAGCCUGAUGCAACAACGCCGCGUGAGGGAUGACGGCCUUCGGGUUGUAAACCUCUUUUAGUAGGGAAGAAGCGAGAGUGACGGUACCUGCAGAAAAAGCACCGGCUAACUACGUGCCAGCCGCCGCCGUAA
rnacentral:rRNA from 1 species